AUGAUGGAUGACGUAACAGCUGUUAAAGAGGAGAAUAAAGGAUGGAAGAUGGCAUCAGAGGAGGAUGCUGAAGCUGGUAGAUCAAUUGAGCAAGAGUUCCUCACUCAUGCUACACCUUCAGGAUUUGCGCCGCACCAGUUCGAGGGCUUCGGAGCCAUGCUGCUGUUGUUGUCCUCUUUGCCAUUGCGCGCAUAUAUGAUUCUGACUCAGGGAGUAGGACUCUUUGACUCUGGCUCCUCUAUCGAUAUAGGGAGGUCACACCUAGCCUGUUCUGCAAGGUCAAAAGGAAGAAUAUCUCUGGUUGCACAGCCCUACAGGGGAACAAAUGGAUUUCUGUGCUCCGUCGGGUCAACACCACUGAGUUGGUUCACGAAUUCACCAAAUUAUAGUUGUUGA
rnacentral:rRNA from 1 species